UAUCUUAUCGCUCUCAUCGAGCUGGUACAACUAUCGUGCGUCCCGGGAGUUCCCAUGAUCAUAAACUCAAUCGCUGAUAACGUCACUGAUGAUCGUGUGCUAAAUUGACCCUCCUGGAGAGUCUCGGUGACAGGGCGAACGUGUUAGAGCCCAGCCAAGGGACAGUGGACCCGGUGAACGGAUGCGGCGAUCAUCAGCGGAGAAAAAGCACGCCGACCAGGCAAAGUGACUGGGGGUGUACCCCCUUUUUCAUUUAAAUUACUCGAAGGCGGUAGUGGUGCGACGCGGCCGGCAUACCUAAUGGCCGCAUAUUGUGCGCUGCCACUGCCACUCAAGGCAAACCGAGAACACACUACUGCGUCAACGGCUGGCGGACCUGUUCGCGACAGGAAAAUAAUACCGAGUUCCUCAUAAUUCGUGGCUGCUUUUUGUCUAUGGAUAUAUAGGUACAGGUGUACGCAUGCUCUGGCUGUGUACGAGGUAUAUGUUACAUUAUCACGUGAAGAUCACGUAAUCGUUUAUCCAAAUGGCAGCGUAUAUUCUAGUCUACGUGAGUAUUCCGUCUCAUGGGAACUGAUGGUUGGCCUCCUCUUCGAUGAUCCAUGCAAGAGGGACACGUCGUCGAGUGCAGUUGGUCGAGGACAUCACAAGAGCUGAACUCGACUGAGAGUUGAAUAGAAUAGGUGAAGAGUUUAAGUUGAUUGAAUGGCUGAUUUGGAUAGACAAUGGAUCAUUCUAGUGGCUUUUACUAGUUGUCAAAGUAAGCUUUCAAGGUGAAGUUUUGUACGAGUUAUUUGAAGGAUAUAUUCGUGCUGUUAGCCCUCAACAGCGUAAUAAAUUACCAAUGACUAUCGUGGCAGUCGCGUUAAACAAAUGUCAAAAUCGCAAUGAAACCUUGUGAUUUUUCACAGCCAAUUUUCAGAAAUUAUUUAGUUGAGUAUGGAGUAGAUUGAAUGAAAUAGUUCAGCGCACGCUGAUUACAAUGGUCAAAUUAAAAUUCAACGCAACGCGAAGCUUGAUCGAGCCCAUAUUCUUGCUGUUGUACCGUAUUUCAACGUGGAAGGUUAUUAAGCAGGUAGAUAGCGAGCAAAGGUACGUAUACAAUAAACUGAGCAACUGAGCGUGACAUGAAACGGCGCGAGGAAGCGCAAACAUCCAUUUACGUUCGUAACGGAUGCGUAAAUACGUGUGCAGAGAUAGAGGAAUAAGUGGACGUUGAACGUUCCUGACUACGUUCGUUGGCAUAUAAAAAGAAAGACAAUACCUAACCAGUUGGCUCAUGCUGGAUAAACUAAUUAACGAUUGAACGAUGUCGGAAAUAAUUAGUCGCGUAUCCUAUUCGCGAUAUAAUUAAAUGCUGGCUAGCGAGGCCUUCACCCCCUUUGUCGCAAAUUAAUUUGUAUAUCUGCGCGAUUCGCGACAAAUAAACUUCGUCCGAGCGGAAUUAAUUCCAGAUAAAUGAAAGUAUAAAUAUCAAUAUUCGGUAGUAAAAAAAAGACAAAAAAUAUGAAGUUAAAUUUAACCCAAAUCAAAGUGGUUUAAAAAUCCAGAAAAGUUGGCAAAAAUUGUGAAAUUAUUAAAUAGAAAUCGUCAUGCUGUAUAGAAUGUACUGAGAAAUCCUAAAGCUUAUGGAAAAACUAAAAAUGUGGCAGACCUCGUGUUACACCUGAACGUGACAGACGGGUAAUUUUGAGCGUUGCCUCGAAUUUUGAGGGGACUGCAAGGUCAAUCACCGAAAAUUUCUUUGAACAGAGAAAAAUGAUUGUGCCUAUAUUGUAAUAAGAUUCGUACAAUUUAACCUUUAUUGAAAGACAAAUUAAAAGGCAAUGACCAAGCAUUUUUAAAUCUAAAAUAAUUUUGCAACUGGCUUUAUAUGAGUAUUACUCCGUUUUAUAUACAGAGCGAUCAUUACUAAUUAUGAAAGAUGUCUGAAAAAUUUAGAAGCAUAUAAACAUGCAAAUAUAGACACAUGACUUUUCAAUUAACGCAGAUUCGAAAAUCUUGAUUAAACUAUGAUUUCAUAUAAUAGAAUAUAAUUUGACUUAUAAUGCGAAAAGUCGAAAAAAAUAAGUCGUAAAAAGUAAAUCGAAAAAAAUUUUCGAUAUACUAAAUCUAACUUCCCUAUCACUAAUUUUGUUUCACGGUACAAGUAAUUUUACGGUAAAAUAUUUGUCAUGUUAUCUUCAAACGUAUCGUUGACACAAAGAAUAGCCUUUAUGGAAGCAAGAAUAAAAAUGUGAUUGGUUGAGUACACACCUUUAUCUAAUUUAGUCUUCGUCUGUGUUGAUUCUAGGAUUUGUGCUAACUGGACGUUUCUUACGUACUUUUGCAAGUGCUGUAUGAUUUUGUAUUUCGCAGAUCUGUUUUUAAACCAUCGCAUUAAAGACUCUUUAUUUGGAGGUUUACAAAAAUUAUGAAAAUAAAACUUUCGUUUAAAAUAUUGUAAGUGGUACUGAACAAAAUUAAAUACAGUAUAAAUGGAAUAUAGUAUAAGAGUUUUCGAAAUGGAUAUUCUUUGACAAACAACGCAGGCUUCAAUUAUCUCAGGGUAUAAUGAAAUUAAAGCAGAAUAUAAUAUUUUUGAAAUGGGUAAAGUACAUCAAUAUACUAUGUUAUAACCAUGAAAUAUAUAUAAAUUUACGAAUGUUUAUGAUGAUAUAAAAAGAAAUUAUAAAAUCAGUUUAAAUGUAAGCUGUUCUUUAUUAAUACAUAGUGUAUGAAAUUCUCCAGUCACUUCCGAUGAAUCAUCAAAAAAUUAUACCUAUGAUAAGUAUGCUAACAAUCAGGUGUAAUACAUAUGCAUUCCUACAGUUCCAGUUAACUACAAUACGACACGGUUUAUAAAUUACUUUGAAUACACUUUAGUUGGUGAAUAUAUGCUUCACAGAGAUUUUUAUCUGUAUGUGUUGAGCAAAUUGGAGUUUAUCAAAGCCAUAUUGAAGGCAUUGGAACGUUUGGAUAAAAUCAAAACGAUUAAAAUUCUUAUGGGGUAGUAGUUUCUUACUUAUGGCUUGCGAAUUUGCGUCCUAUGCGUUCAGAAAAAAUUAAUCAAAAAGACAAUCACAUGAUUUUAUCACAAAAAUAGAUUUAAUUUAUAAAAUAAAAAUACGACAGUUAAAAAGUAAUAUCUUUUGUUAGAAUGCAACGACUCCCAUUUUACAUAUAAAUAUCGUACAAAAUCUCGAAUCAACUAAAAUUACCAUCUGCUCGUUUUUUAAAUCUAAAUUGACCUUAAAAAUGGUGCAAAAUACUAUUUUUUGACAAAAACGUUCAUCGUACUCUCUCAGUUUGCAUAUAAGGUAUAUGUUUAAUAAUUUUUAAGCAUUAAUCAUAAUUUCAAUAGCUUAUUAUCACGUAGUAUUAUACCUAUUAUCGUCCCGUCAUUCUUGAAAUUAUGUUUACUAUGAUAAGUAUGCACUACAGAAACGUGCAAUUAAUUCAUAAAUUUUAAUGGUAGAGAAAGAAAUAGAAACAGGUCAACGAAAGCAUACAAUAACGAUGCUUGUUUCUCUUCAACAUGCAACCUAUAUAGCCCGGCAAUUCUCAUUUUUCCCCUAGUUUUUCAUCAGGACAGAUAACAAUGCGAGGCAUAUUUGCGGAAUAAUGAAGCAACCCGGCACACGGCGCGACAAAAUCUUGACUGACAGGAAACUUGGAUCAAAACACAACUGGAGUAAACUCCGGUUCGACGGAAAUUCAUCCGAACAAUUAUCUUCGGAAUGAAAUGGCACCAAUUAAACGAGUUUCUCCUGUUCUUCCGAGCUUGCAAAAACGACGUCGGUACUAAUUAGCAAAGUCCACGCUCCAAGUGAAUUUCAUACCAGGAUCUACGAGUCUUGGAUACUCCGCCAACUAUUCUGGGCUGUCUUCUACCUCAUAAACGAUCCAAAGUACUUUCAACAAUACCACUCGGCAAUUUCUUCCUGCGACAGAAUACUCGUUUUUCCCUCUUGGUCAUUGGACAUGCAUCCAGAUAUUUGGUCAAAGCUAAUUUUAUCGCAUGCCCCUAUUUUGCAUCCAACAUAAUUGAUCAUUUUUCAGAAAUAUUUAUAACGUAAGGAAAAUUUUACUUUUUACUUUAUACUAUUACAAACUAUAAAGUUCAAUUAUCAAUUCAAUUUUAACUAUCUUAUCAAUUAUCUUAUCUCACACUAUUUUUUACUUAUCGUCCUUGUUUCUUUUUCAAUAUUGCAAUUAACAUUUUUCAAUUUUUUUUCAAUUUUCAAUUAUCGAUUGCCUAUUGGCAUAUAAUAAAUAAUUCCCUUCGGGUAUAAUUAGAUAUAUGGUAAAACUUAAUGACGAUUAUAAAAUAAACUAUCGAUUAACAGUCAGUUUUAAUCAAUUAUUAGUAUUAUUAAAUUAAUAACGAUAGUUACCGUUAUAACAGCCAUGUAAUUAUACUUAGCCUUAUACAUGUGGGAAAGAAGAACGUAGUAAUGAAUAAACUGUCGAGACGAACACGAGAACUUAAUCAACGCUUUGAAUACGUAUUACGAUGUAAUCGGCUUAAAAAGAAACGAGGACUGACGGUUCACGUGCGAAAACGGAGACUGUUUAUGUUAAUCACUCGUUUUAAUCAAGCCUUCAGACUAUUUUAAUUUUAACUACAAAGUAGUUAUUUUUGUUCUUUAUUUAUCUGUUUGGAGCUCCUAUUUAUUCACCACCUAUGUGAAUAAACUCAAAAUUUACAUUAAAAGUGUUGAGCUUUAGGUUUCUUGCGAUCUUUUGUAAGGCACAUUGCCUCUGCUUGUUUUUUGACAAAUUAUUACAUUGAUUAUAAUGUCAUAUUAAAUUAAAUUAAUUAUCAAAUUGACCCGAUGAUUGUUGUAGGUAUGCAUAAUAAGUGAUCAGUUAAAUAAUUUGAUUUUUGAGUUUGAGUUGUUUAUUAUUUCUAAAUUGAUAAGGUGAAAAUAUUACUCGUAUUUUAAAGAGAAAAGUAAAUUAUUAUACUAGAUUAUGUGAACUAUAUAUUAAAGAUCAGUGACGAUAUGGUGAAAGAACAAUGCUAUAUUUGAGAAAUUACUUAAAGGAUUGUAUAUUUUUUGAAACACUUUAAUUUGGCUGAAAUGCAAACGUGAACGUGAAAGUGAAAACAGCACUUCUCAAUCAUGUCACUUUCAAUGACAAUUUUGGAAGAUAUUCUUGGAAGAACGUUUCCGAGGCUACGAGGUCUUUUGAAUCAGUUGGAAAAAUCAUAAUAUGUAUCUGAAACCAUCGAAUCUCUCAGAACAUUGAAAAGACAGGAAUAGUCAGGAACGUUAGAUAAACUUUAAAAUCAAUACUACAUACUUCAAAUUCUUCAAGCUUUGAAUUUGAAAAGUUUACUCGGAGCCUAAUCAUUAAAACUUAUACAUUUUUAUUCUAGAGUUUAAACUUUCAUUAGUAUUUAUCAUAAACAAAUUCUUAUUACAUUAUUCUUUUAAAUGGUUUCACGAAAUAUUUUUCAAGCUAAUGUUGUAAGCAAUGCGUUUAAAUAAACAAUUAUCUGUUUAUUAAUUAUUAGUAUAAUUUACCUCAUCUCCUACAAUUGUUUGCCACCUUCCUAUUUUAUUUUAUAUCCAUUUUUCAUAAAGUAUUUAUCGUGCCAAAAUCCAUUAUUUUAAGUUCAUCUCUCACAAAAACUACAUUACUUAUAUUGUAACAUGAUACAAUAACCUGUAUUACAAAAUAAUCCAAAAUAUUAUACGUAAACGAGUCUACGUUGAUUACAAGUUAUCGACAUUUAAGUAGGUAAUACUUUACCUGCCAUAAUACUUUAACUAUCAUAUUCUCUUUAUUUCCUAAUAUUCAAAAAAUGAUUUCACGUUAUAAAAAAGCAAUAAAAUUAUGUGACUAAUAUCGUGGAAAGCUUCGUUGAGGCAAUUUGAAUUGCAACGUAUUUAAGAGAAUGACGCAACAUUAGGCAAGAUUUAAAACGUACAAGUUUAAAUUUAUACGUCAUAUUAAGGCACGAAUUGUACUAUAAAAGAAAUAAAAUAAACAUAUAUGCCAAUUGGCAAUAUUCCUGGCGCAUUUUCUACCAACGAGAACAAGGAGAAAACGAUUAUUUGGGUGUACGACAAUACUGCAUACAACUUUUCGUAUAAAACUGCGUAACAACGGCAGGCCGACGCAGCUCUUGAUUUGCGAAGUUUUAUAGCAAGAUGGCACUAUUCCGGCAGGAAAAUGCCCACUAUGAGAAAAGUUAAGUCCAUUUAGAAAUAUGUACGCGCUUACAUAAUCCGGAAACGAGAGAUUUAUAGACUUAAAGCGAGAGAAUUCACGAGAUUUUCUUUACUAAUGAGUCUAUCUUUCGCUAAUGUAUACAUAUAGUCUAUUGAUAUAUUCAGUGUAUAUUACUACUAUUUAUACAUAUACAUAUGUACUGCCGAUCGUAAGUACUAGGAUAUCUAUUAAUAUCUAGCAUGAAUUGAAUGCUUUUCACUGUCACUAAUUUCUGUAUAUUUUAUUAUAAAUCUGUUAUUCCAUUUGCAUUAUAUGCAUCUGAUAAUAAAAUACUAAAUAAAGCGAAAUUUUUUAGUUUUCCAAUAAAUAUCAUAAAUAAGUAUGAGAAGUUUUCCGAGAACGAAAGAUUUAUAGAUAUAAAUUAAAACGAAAAAUAUUCGCGAGAUUUUACGAAUGAAUCUAUCUUCCCUUAAUGUUGCAUUCGAUUUAUAUUACUAUUAUCUAUGUAUGGUAUUCUCUAACCUCCGGAAAGAUCAAUCUUUAUUACUAUUACUAACUCUUUAUUACUAAUUCUACAUCGUACUAAGUAUUAGCCAAACGUUCCGAGAAGUUUCGAAUGUCUUGUAUCAGAUAAAUAUCGAAUAUCGUGUGUGUCAUUGAUAGUAAGAAGAACAAUGUUUUGAUUCGAUCAGCUUGUUUGAUAUUCUUUGACGAAACCGAUCUAUGUCGAUCGAACAUUUGUUUUGAAUGUCUCGAGUCGGCGCGAUAGUUAUGAUGAGUCACACACGAUAACCGAAUCGGUUUAUUCCCUGAACUAUUUUUAGUAAAUAUUUCAAGUCGUCUAUUUGUCACGAAUAUAUGCAAGUAGGUAUGUAGAUACAUAUGUAUUUACAUUAUAGAAUAUAAAGUUGGCAUCUAUUAUCUUAAUAACGUUUAAUUUAAAGCUUCUAAUACUUUAACAUUAAAGCUAUCGAUAACUAAAAAAAUAUAGAGCCUAUACUAAACAAAUCUAAAUGGAAGUAUUAUAAAAAAUAUACAUAUAAUACAAAAAGAAAGACAAACUUUCCCAACCCACAAAUCCGAUAGUUGUAGUAUUAACGAUUGAAAAAAGAAAAUAUAAUCUAACAGUUGAACGUUUUAUACAUGUACAACAAACAAGCUGCGAUUAACGAAUGAGCACUAACUUUUCGAACACCCUAUACCUUUGUCUAUACGUUUCGCCCCCGCACGUAAUACUCGGUGUACGCAUGCUCCUUUCGCUCAUAACAGCAUUUAUUCAGCUGUUACGCGCAAGAUCACGAAUAUGACCUUAGCAAUUGCCAAGGAAUUCUAUCGAGCGCGACUCUUUAUUCACUUGUCCAUUCCCCUCGGAAAAUUAUUCAGUUGUUCGAGAACAACGAAUUGAAAAACUCGAUUCGUUGUAGGGUCGACAGAAACUAAUUUCGAAGGUAAUCCCGAAAGACAAACAACGAUAACGACGGAGCGUCGAACGUGACCGGAUCCAUCUGUCGGCAUAAUUAGUCUCGGGCAAAUUGUCCCUUCGUACGUCACUCGUGUCGAAUUUUUAUGUUACAGACGAAAAAGUCGGGGCUUUUUCGUUUGUUUGCCGUAACCACAAAACUGUGUACUCACCGGGGAAGCUGUGCGUAUAUGCGACGAAACACGCUGCGACGAGUAGAACUUCAGCAAAGGUUUUCA